AUUGAACGCUGGCGGCAGGCCUAACACAUGCAAGUCGAACGAGUGGCGGACGGGUGCGUAAUUUCUGGGAAACUGCCUGAUGGAGGGGGAUAACUACUGGAACCGGUAGCUAAUACCGCAUACCAUCAGCUGUGCUCAGAUGGGAUUAGCUUGUUGGUGUGGUAACGGCUCACCAAGGCGACGAUCCCUAGCUGGUCUGCGAGGAUGACCGGCCACACUGGAACUGAUACACGGUCCAGACUCCUACGGGAGGCAGCAGUGGGGAAUAUUGCGCAAUGGGCGCAAGUCUGAUGCAGCCAUGCCGCGUGUAUGAAGAAGGCUUUCGGGUUGUAAAAUACUUUCGUCGGGGAGGCGUUACCCGCAGAAGAAGCACCGGCUAACUCCGUGCCAGCAGCCGCGGUAAUAC
rnacentral:rRNA from 1 species